CUGCGCAAGUGAAAGGAGAAACGGAGCUGCUCAGCAUGAGUUUAGGAGCAUGACCAGAUGCUGUAAAAGCCAGCUCACAGCACAUCUGGGCUGUACUGUCCCCAUCUGCUUAAGGACUUUUAUGAUGCAGAGUAAAGGCGCUAAGAGGGUUCAAGAAUAGGUGGCAACAUCAGUCACAAGAUUUUAUAAAGGGACAAAUUCUCAAAAGCAGCAGUAAAUCACCUCAUGUAGGUUAUGGUAAAGUUUUUAUCUGUAUGUUACUACAUAUUAACAACCAAACUCAUUUGCAUUAAUCAAACUACAACAUUUUUAUGUGUAUGAAGAUUCGUUGCAGUGCACAGUAACUAUGAGAAGAAGCUAUGUUCUAACUGUUCUAGGUGCUUGAAAUCUAUCCAGAUUAUUAAGAAGGCACAGUUGCCUUCUAAAACUCAAAGGGAAGAGCCUUUGCAGAAGAAUAGUGUACCCAUCCAAUGUAGGAUUUGAAGAAAUGCAGCUGGACACAUCCUGAAAGCCCCUUACCUGUGGAAUGGCUCUCAUAGGAUCAGAAGACAUUCUUCACACAGCCGAGAGAGAAGAGCAGACUUGGAAUAUUUUUCAUUUUCUUCAAGUCUCCAUGACUCCCUCGUCUUGUUGUUUUACCUGACUUGAAUGGACAACUCAAGAUAAGACAUUUUACAUAGGAUUCCAUGAUUUGUGUGCUUCUUUGGGAUCCCUGUCUGAAUUCACCUACCUAAUGCAUCGGAUAAUUGGCAGUCGUUCACAAGUAAAAUGGACAGUCUGUUC